GUCGAACGCUUUGUCUUUAAUUGAUCUGACGAGCUUGCUCUGAUUUGAUUUUAUCUGACAAAGAGUGGCGAACGGGUGAGUAACACGUGGGUAACCUACCUCUUAGCAGGGGAUAACAUUUGGAAACAAGUGCUAAUACCGUAUAAUACCAACAACCGCAUGGUUGUUGGUUGAAAGAUGGUUCUGCUAUCACUAAGAGAUGGACCCGCGGUGCAUUAGCUAGUUGGUAAGGUAACGGCUUACCAAGGCAAUGAUGCAUAGCCGAGUUGAGAGACUGAUCGGCCACAAUGGGACUGAGACACGGCCCAUACUCCUACGGGAGGCAGCAGUAGGGAAUCUUCCACAAUGGGCGCAAGCCUGAUGGAGCAACGCCGCGUGUGUGAUGAAGGGUUUCGGCUCGUAAAACACUGUUAUAAGAGAAGAACGGCACUGAGAGUAACUGUUCAGUGUGUGACGGUAUCUUACCAGAAAGGAACGGCUAAAUACGUGCCAGCAGCCGCGGUAAUACGUAUGUUCCAAGCGUUAUCCGGAUUUAUUGGGCGUAAAGCGAGCGCAGACGGUUAUUUAAGUCUGAAGUGAAAGCCCUCAGCUCAACUGAGGAAUGGCUUUGGAAACUGGAUGACUUGAGUGCAGUAGAGGAAAGUGGAACUCCAUGUGUAGCGGUGAAAUGCGUAGAUAUAUGGAAGAACACCAGUGGCGAAGGCGGCUUUCUGGACUGUAACUGACGUUGAGGCUCGAAAGUGUGGGUAGCAAACAGGAUUAGAUACCCUGGUAGUCCACACCGUAAACGAUGAGUGCUAGAUGUUCGAGGGUUUCCGCCCUUGAGUGUCGCAGCUAACGCAUUAAGCACUCCGCCUGG
rnacentral:rRNA from 1 species